GUCAGGUGUGCCCGCGGCUUCUUAAUCGAAGCCGAGAGCGAGCCGCGGCCUGCGGUCGGUGGCCGCCAUCUUGCUGCUUGUACUUGCGGCCCUGGGUGGGGAGGCCUCCGUCAGCCCCCGCGGCGCAGGCUGCCAUGCUCGACGCUGCGGCCUUUGCCUCCUUACAGCACGGUGGCUGGGUUCCAAGAGCGAGCGUUCCAGGAGGACCAUGGGGGUGUGAAUUGCAUUUUCAAUCCCAGUGCUGAAUUGGAAUAUCCUAGAUCUUCAGAACCACAGGACAGAAAGAGUCUGAGUGAAGACACCCCCUGAGCACAGACACAUGCACUGGACUGUUACCCUGGAAUUUAUUUGACAGCAACUAGCACUAACUUAGGACAUAUUCACCUCAAUACUGCAUCAUUAACCCAGUUUUUACUGGAAGAAUGAACACUUGCAAGGCUGGUUCGGUGAUUUAGACAAAAGAAGAUGGUGGCAUGGAUUAGGAGAG